CACGUAGGGCGCAAGCGUUGUCCGGAAUUAUUGGGCGUAAAGGGCGCGUAGGCGGCCACGCACGUCCGUUGUGAAAUCGCCCGGCUCAACUGGGCGGGGUCAGCGGAUACGGCGUGGCUAGAGCAAGCUAGGGGGCAAUGGAAUUCCCGGUGUAGUGGUGGAAUGCGCAGAUAUCAGGAGGAACACCGGUGGCGAAGGCGGUUCUCUGGGCAUUACCUGACGCUGAGGAGCGAAAGUGUGGGGAGCGAACAGG
rnacentral:rRNA from 1 species